rnacentral:rRNA from 1 species
UGGGGAAUAUUGCACAAUGGGCGCAAGCCUGAUGCAGCCAUGCCGCGUGUAUGAAGAAGGCCUUCGGGUUGUAAAGUACUUUCAGCGGGGAGGAAGGCGUUGUGGUUAAUAACCACAGCGAUUGACGUUACCCGCAGAAGAAGCACCGGCUAACUCCGUGCCAGCAGCCGCGGUAAUACGGAGGGUGCAAGCGUUAAUCGGAAUUACUGGGCGUAAAGCGCACGCAGGCGGUCUGUCAAGUCGGAUGUGAAAUCCCCGGGCUCAACCUGGGAACUGCAUUAGAAACUGGCAGGCUAGAGUCUUGUAGAGGGGGGUAGAAUUCCAGGUGUAGCGGUGAAAUGCGUAGAGAUCUGGAGGAAUACCGGUGGCGAAGGCGGCCCCCUGGACAAAGACUGACGCUCAGGUGCGAAAGCGUGGGGAGCAAACAGG